rnacentral:lncRNA from 1 species
CACGUUUUCACCUGGUUAUCGUCGAAGAUUAAAUUUAAAUUGAUUGCUGAGGAUACUAAAUUUAGAAGAGUGCAAUUCUCAAACCGUAUUAAAGAUGCUUUGUCAAGAAAUAAAGUAGUAAGGGAAAGAGUGUUUCCAGUUUGCUUUCCUUCAAAAAGUUCUCAUACUGGUCAUUUUACUAGAGAUGAUACUUAUUACUUAAGUAUAAAGACGUC